GUCCUAUGAUUACUAGACAUUGCUGUUCAUGUACAGUUCUCCAUGGGGGCACAGGGGCCAAAGCAAUCUAUGAUUUAUGCACAGGGGAUGUUUUCCUCAGCAGCCUUCAUAGCCUGCUCACUAAUACAUGG